rnacentral:rRNA from 1 species
AGAGUUUGAUCCUGGCUCAGAACGAACGCUGGCGGCAUGCCUAACACAUGCAAGUCGAACGAGACCUUCGGGUCUAGUGGCGCACGGGUGCGUAACGCGUGGGAAUCUGCCCUUGGGUNUCGGAAUAACAGUUGGAAACGACUGCUAAUACCGGAUGAUGACGUAAGUCCAAAGAUUUAUCGCCCAAGGAUGAGCCCGCGUAGGAUUAGCUAGUUGGUGAGGUAAAGGCUCACCAAGGCGACGAUCCUUAGCUGGUCUGAGAGGAUGAUCAGCCACACUGGGACUGAGACACGGCCCAGACUCCUACGGGAGGCAGCAGUGGGGAAUAUUGGACAAUGGGCGAAAGCCUGAUCCAGCAAUGCCGCGUGAGUGAUGAAGGCCUUAGGGUUGUAAAGCUCUUUUACCCGGGAUGAUAAUGACAGUACCGGGAGAAUAAGCUCCGGCUAACUCCGUGCCAGCAGCCGCGGUAAUACGGAGGGAGCUAGCGUUGUUCGGAAUUACUGGGCGUAAAGCGCACGUAGGCGGCUUUGUAAGUUAGAGGUGAAAGCCUGGAG